UACGGAGGGGGCGAGCGUUAUUCGGAAUUAUUGGGCGUAAAGGGCGCGUAGGCGGCUUGACAAGUCAAAGGUGAAAUCCCUCGGCUCAACUGAGGAACUGCCUUUGAAACUGUCUGGCUUGAGGCCGGGAGGGGGUAGCGGAAUUCCCAGUGUAGCGGUGAAAUGCGUAGAUACUGGGAGGAACACCAGUGGCGAAAGCGGCUACCUGGACCGGUUCUGACGCUGAGGCGCGAAAGCGUGGGUAGCAAACGGG
rnacentral:rRNA from 1 species